ensembl:lncRNA
AAAGUCCUGUCGUUUUCUCCUUAGACAGUAAGGGUAGAAAACAGAGCUUGCUCUGAGAAGCAUCGCAAGUAAAUCUCCACCAUCCUGUCCUCGUUGGCACUUUGCUUUCUACUAAACUCUGGCAAAACCAUAUGCCACACUGGCAAAGCUGGAAGAGAAAGAAAUGGAAGAGAGUAAUCAGCACACAGUGAGCAGUACGGCUGCUUCCUUCCACCUGCCAGCUCCAUGCUGACCCCAGCAGCCAUGGGUGAUGAGUAUUUCAUGACCCACCGCCCUCUCAUUCACCAGAAGAAAAUGGAGAAGUAAUUGCCAGGGCACACCUGCAGCUGGAGGAUAAGUCAUUGCCCUGGGUCUGCUGAGUCAGAAGAACUGAAACAGCCACUGAAGCCAGAAAAUGAGCAUUCUUGUACAAUCCAGAGCUGAUGUCCAGACAGGAAAUAGAAAUGGACUUUGGAAUAAAAGUUAACAAUUGCAAAUGAAUAAAAAUGGGAGCAACACUACCAGAAGCCCUUCAUCCUGAUGAUGUCAUGGUUCCCAAAUGCCCUUCAGAAAUGCAAAUUGCCUACAAUGUAAUAAAAAGGGCAUUUUCUAGAGUGUGCAGAGCUUGCAUAGUUUAAUUAAGCAUAAACUAGGGUGACUCUGAAAGGGAAAAUGAUGUGGAUUGCAUUCUCUGAGUGACCUUGGAAAUGCAUUUAGAUACUUUGUCUAUAAAGCAAUUAAACACACACUUCAAAUUCUGUCAUCUCUAUUCCUUUCCUUUAUUUAGAAGCAUACAUUCUUUUUGUUCUCCCUGAUCUCACAUUGAUAUAUCUCAGUGCUUAGAAAAUGUGAUUUGUUUUCCUCUAGCAUUUGUCUGCACCCUCACAAUCUCUGGUUUCCUAGUCCCUAUUCCAGCAUUUACUGACAUUAAACUCCUGCUACCUGCUUUCCUUGCUUUCCACCAAACAGCAACCAGGCCAUUUCACCGAAGCAGCAAACCUGGAAUAAGGAGAUGGUCACAGAAAUCUCUCAUCCCAAGACCCAUCCCUCCUCUCUCAACGCAUCCUACAGACCCUAAGAAGCCCCUUCCCUUGCUGGCCUGUCAUGCUGCAUCACGGCCCUCUGUGAAUGUUUGCAGUGUGACUCUGAGCAGCUCCUGAAGCUGCCUUUCAAUGU